GUCAGGAUGGCCGAGUGGUCCAAGGCACCCCGUUCAGGUCACAGUUCACUCUGUGGGAGUGGGUUCGAAUCCCACCCCUGACA
rnacentral:tRNA from 1 species